UACGAUUCAUCAAGGACCCGAGUUUAGAGAU
rnacentral:piRNA from 1 species